AUACAGUAAAUAAUAAUAAUAACAAUAAUAAUCAUCUUCAGUAAAUAAACGAACAGAUGUAUCUGCACUCAUUUAAAUGCAAAAAGGUAUGUAAAACUCUAAAAAUAUAUAGAUUUAUAAAUGUCACAUUUAAGGAUUCAUAGCCAGGUAAAAGAGAAGAAGAAAAGACACUUUAUUCUUCGAUGUAUCAAAGAAGAAACAACUGCAGUGUGCAGCACAACUGCUCACUACAGCUGUCACUACCAACUUCAACCUCGAGAAAAACUGUACCCAAACUCAUCUAGACUUUUAAUCUGCUGUUCAAAAUACAAACUGUACAAACAAUGCUUUAACAGACACUAACAUUACUAAUCAAAGGCAAGAUAUGCAAUUUAUUAUCUUGCAAAAGCAGAAGUGACUAAGAGAGAAAAGGUGUCUGUCAUAUGCACUGCUGUAUAGCCAUAUUAAAGACUGCCACUAGGUGCCUCUGUAGACCUAAUAUAUUUAGACUGCCUUCCAUUGCCUCUUCUACUGAUGUAAAUUGAAUUUAGUUUGUUUCCUCACAUGACAGUCCUGAGAUGUUUUUGUGCCUUCUAAUGUCUGGCUAGAUUUAGUUCUAUAUGGUUUGAAGCAUCAUGAAUACCGGUCCAGUCCAUUGUUUUUUUCAAAUUUUCUUGGCAGUUGGUUUUUCUGAGCUUUGCCUUGCUGGACCUUUGCAUGCCCAGUGCAAAGUAGAAUGGUAUUUUGGAAUACCUUGCCAAGUGGUUUAUGAAUCCCUGGUUUUGCAAAUCAAGCAGUGGGAAACCAUGGCCGGCUGCAGGCAGGGUGGACAACGGUGCUUCUACAAGUUGCAAUCUGCCUCGGUCCACUUUAUAGCUGCCAAACACAUCUCUCCUUUUAAGAAAUAUAUGGAUUCCAUUCAUUUCCGCCUUGUCCCCUAUUAUUUCUUCACCUCCUGUCAUGUUUCGGUAGGUUUCCACUCACCUAGAAAAAACAGUUUUUACAAUGUCUGAGACUGUCACUUGCUCCCAUUGAAUUACUGACAUUUGUUGUUUCAUCUGUCUCCCCAUUACAUUAGAUUCAUUUUUUUGCCAUUAUAUGAUCUGUCCCUAGGCCAUGUCAAUAUCUGAGACCUGGUAUGUCAUCAAAGACCAUGGCACAAAUUACUGCAACCUCUACAACCUUAUUGAAGGUACGAACACAGGCCAAUAUACUAAGAAGCAAGUUGAGAUCGUACUGCAUUACAAGCACAAAUACAAUGUGAUCAAAGUGGACUUUUACUCCAUGUUGCUUGAAUUUGCCAAUGUGCCUUAAAGGAGAUACAAUAUGUGGUCGUCAUGGUUUCACCUUGACCAUUUCAUGAAGAAUUGUUUUAAUUUUAUUUCAAUAAAAUGAAAUAGGCUGUCAUUUCCAAUCAUAUCAAUCACUUUUGCAGCAAUCUCCCAGUGUGUCGUAGAGGACUGAGCAGGGAUGAAAUUGUUGAGUUUCUAGUGUAGAAAAAGGGAUGUAGUAUACCAUAAAGUAGCAUUAGUCAUAUUUUAUUUAUCGUUGCUGUUAGGUGGAAUCCCCCUAACUCCAUCCAUCCAUGCAUUUUCUACAUUGUGUACCCUCACUAUGGUCCUGGCGAUGGUGGAACCUAUACAAACUAACUGCGGGCAAGAGACAGGGUGCACCCUGAACUGGUUGCCAACCAAUCACAAGGCAAAAAUUAAUAUCAACACGCUCAUACACACGUAUGGAUAAUUUAGAUUUUACUAUUAAGAUACGGAGUGUUUGGGGGAUUUGGAAGGAAACCAGAGUACCUGGACAAAACCCACACAGGCAUAGAGAGAUAAUGCAAAGUUCACACAGGCUAGGAUGGCUUUUAAUCCAGGUCCUCAAAACUGUGAAGCUGAUGUGCUUGGCUUUUGGGGACCGUGCCCCUCCCCCACCUUGAAAAUUAAAACUUGUUAAGCAAAAUCAAUCAAUUAAUAGUCAUAUUGGAAUGUAUGUUCGAGUGUUGUUUUCAAGUAAAAUUUCCAUGAUUUGUCAUUAACAGUGAUCUUACCAAGAAGAAGCUGAAAUGGCUACCUGUCACCUUUGUUUGACAGGCGGCUGGAGGCUUGUCAGUAAAUUACGGAUUGACAUUUGAGACUGUUGAGGUCUAUUUGUCGACCCGGUCUGUUGGAUAGGAAACUUAUCAUUGCCUAUUGUUGAGUCAGGAGAAUGCCCAGAGGGGUCUGGGUCAGAACAGACUAUCACAGCAGGCUUCCCGGGCUCAGGCGCGUCACCACCAACCAGGGGCUGUGGUGGGUCUUGCUUUACAUACUGCAGAUAAUCUCAAGAAUAUCAUUUGUAGCAGUACCCAUUCCUUGUUAGUGACACCUUGUGGGGUUGAGAAGAAUUCAUUCUUACCUUUUGGGCCCUUCAUCGAUCGAGCAGGACGAUUCCUCGUUUUUUUUUUUUUUUUUUUGCAAAUGGUCCAAGUUUUGGCGUGUGUCAUUAUUGGGAGAGCUUAAAUCGAAAAUAUUAGCAUCCAGUGGCUUUCUUUAAAAAAAAUAAAUAAAUAAAAUAUAUAUAUAUGUAAUAUAUAAUAUAUAUAUAUAUAUCUAUAAUGACACUUGUAAAAUAGUGUGCUGCUUAUGAAAUCCAUGCAGUUAUUCAUGUUCCAGAAAAUUUCAUUUUAUUCAUUCAACAUAAACACAUUUUUAACUCUUACCAAAAAAAAUAAAAAAUAAAUAAUAAUAAAUCGCUGAGUUGAAGGUUUCUUUCAAAUGAAUUAAAAAGCUGAACUUAAAUUAUCACUCACACAUGAAGCCAUCAUCCUCUCGGCUUUCGUAGAGUGAAGCGGAUUCUUGACGUGAAUUUAAUGUGCCACUGACACCAAAAUAUACAUCUUAAAUUAGGUAUUGUUAUAAAAAUUCCAUUUAUUAAUCACUUUGAUGAUACUACAAGUUGGAAAAAGUGAGCUGGGAGCGUUUUAUUAAAGUGCAAGGUUGCGAAAGUAUGACUCUGCAUCCUAGUAGUGGCCAGAUUGUCCGUGAUGUCAUGCGAUGUCUUGCACAGGCAUCACACUGGGGCAGUCACCAUUGAUGACGCGCUGCGCCAAAUGCCAUGGCAGAUGAACAAGAGCGAUUUUCGGAUUUUUCUGAUGCCCCUUCUGAGCCUAAAGCUCUUGAGGAAGAGAACAUCUCAGAAGCGAGCGAAACAACCGGGGCCAUUUUACCAUAUCGUUUCAAGCCAUAUUUAGACGAUAUGCAGAUCACUUCUAACUAACAACAGACAGAUGAGGAGGACGAGGAACCUGAUCAAAUAUUCAAAAUGCCUGGCCCGUGAUUGUUCAAUUUCCUAACCCAUUUACAAGUCUUGUGUAUAAAGCAUACUGAGGACCCAUGCCGAGCGAAGUAAAUAUGUCAGGGGUGCCCACACACCGGUGGCUGGUGCGGGGGAGAUGGCGGCCCGAGCCGAGGCCCGCACACAUCGACAUCUUGUGAACGCCUGGCUUACGUACUUUAUUAUUAUGACACUGAUUUCUAAAAUGUUCCUAUAAAGACGAGGAUGGCUGCCAACUGAGCUUUUCAUUCAUACUGCUUCUUUCGGACAAGUACACAUGUACACGGACACCACACUAACUUUUUGACAUUUCCAGAAUAUUCGCUGGAAAUAACUGGUCUAUUUGGAACGUCAGAUUCAACUAUGGUGACUAUACGUCGCUUUGGUCAUUAGCCCGUGUUCCAAACCGUGUAACAAACCCAGCGGUGACUCCUCUUCCUAAUUGCCCUUUGCUGAGGGUAUUAAAUUACAAUGGCAAAAAAGAGCAAUUUCACUUAACAAUGAAAAUAAAUAUUUGCAAAAUAACUGCCUGAAUAUUUAUUUGACCUACUCCUGAACAGUGUCAGCAAAUCAGGACUGUAGUAAGUCACUUUCAUCUUUAGACAGGACAGGAAAUUGCCGUCUGGGAGGCGUGGUGGCAUCUCGGAGAGUGUGACGCAUAUUUUGAGCGAUGAAAAAUAUUAGAUAAAUAAAUGUAUAAUUUUAAUACUUCAAGAUCACAAUAAUCUUACAGUUUAAUUUCAACUACAAUAAAUUAAAGAAUAGACACAAAAUACUUCGUUCAGAUAUUGUCCACUUUUGGUGUUACUUGGCUUUCCGCACAAGCUGGCUAUCAAAUCUACCUGCCGGCACGUCAAAUGUGCUGUCAAACGUCUCCGAAGAAGCGAAUGGUGAUCAGGUCAAAAAGCGAGAUACUAAAAUUCAUGAAAGCAUGAUCCAAAAAAACUAAAUGUAAAAAAUCCGACAUGACAAAAUGUGAAAAUAUAACUUGACUUGAUAUGCCUGAGUCACACUAUGACAUGGGACGAGACAGUUACACCAGCUGAUGAUCGUGAACACACAUCCAUAUACACACGAUCUGGCAACAUGUGGCAUGAAAAACAAGGCUGAAAUAUACAACGUAAUUAUGGGGAAACAAUGUGAAGCAGCGCGCAAAAGGAAGUAACAUACAACCAUGCCGCCGCCUGCCGCAGCGGCUGCUGUCAAGCUCUGGUGUUGAGCAUUUUAAUUGUGUGCGCCCUCCUGCUUUUUAAUAUACCCAUUAAGUCAUUUCUACGUAGUGAGAGCUCUCGUUGUUUUGAUCGCGACCUGACGCCAAAUCAAACACUCGAAUGGACACUGUGUUUUAGCUGCUGCGAAUGCAGCCGCCAUGAAUGCACGCACGUGAAUGUGGAGAACCACAACCCUUCACAUAUUUAUAACGUGUUGGAAAAAUGUUUGGGUUGGUGAGAAAAUCCUAACUACAGGCUUUUUUUCCCGUUUUUUUUUGGAAGCCCUUCUUGACGCAACCCUCUGCAUUUAUCCCGGCUUGGGACCAGCCUCCAGAUUGCACUGGUUUGUGCCCUCAUAGGGCUGCCUUAAAUAUAUAUCAAUGGUGGCACAGUUGUAAAGCGUUGGCCUCACAGUUCUGAGGUCCAGGAUUCAACCCCGGCCCUGCCUAUGUGGCGUUUACGUGUUCUCCCCAUGCCUGCGUGGGUUUUCUCUGGGCACUCUGGUUUCCUACCAUGCAUCCCCAAAUCAUGCAACAUGAAUUGGACACCCUAAAUUGCCCCUUAGUGUGAUUGUUAGUGUGACUUUUCUUUCCAUGUGCCCUGUGAUUGGCUGGCAACCAGUUCAGGGUGGACCCCACCUCCUGCCCAAUGACAGUUGGGAUAGGCUCCAGCACUUCUGCUCCGCUUGUGAGGAUAAGCGGCUAAGAAAAUGGACGGAUGGAUGGCUAUAUAUGAAUGUACACAGAGCACACCAAAUUAUUUGGAAAAAAAUGGCAUAAUUUAUAUAUAUAUAUUUAUAUAUAAUAAUAAAAAACCUUAAAUAUAACAAGAAUGCUAUAACACGCCAUUUUAACUCUCGUGCUGUCCAUUUCUUCUGAUCAUCCUUGAAAUGGUUUUACAUCUUUAUUGGAGUCCAGUUGUGUUUGAUAUACUGUACAAUGUGGCCCUAUGGGGGCACAAGCCAGUACAAUCUGUAGGCUGGUCCCAAGCCCAGAUAAAUGCAGAGGGUUGCGUCAGGAAGGGUAUCCGGUGUAAAACUGUGUGUGAGUGUUCAUCUAAAGAAUACCAUACCGGAUCAGUCGUGGUCCGGGUUAACAAUGCACCGUUAACCUGUAGGGGUCGGUGGAAAUUCAGCUACUGUGGGUUGGAAAAAAAAGAAGAGGAGGAAAGCGGAUUCAUAUGCAGAAGAAGAGGAAUAAACAAGGCCAACAACUGAGUAAGGGGACUUUGAAUGUUGGGACUAUCCAACAACUGAGUAAGGGGACUUUGAAUGUUGGGACUAUGACAGGAAAAGCUCAGGAGUUGGUUGACAUGAUGUUAGGAGAAAGGUUGAUAUAUUGUGCAUCCAAGAGAGGAGGUGGAAAGGUAGUGAGGCUUGAAGUUUAGGAGCAGGGUUGAAAUUACUUUACCAUGGAGUAGAUGGGAAGAGAAAUGGAGUAAGGGUUAUUUUAAAGGAAGAGCUGGCUAAGAAUGUCUUGGAGGUGACAAGAGUAUCAUAUCGAGUAAUAAGACUGACAUUUGAAAUUGAGGGUGUUGUAUAUAAUGUGAUUAGUGACUAUGCUCCACAGGCAGGAUGUGACUGAGAGUCGAAAGAGAAAUUCUGGAAGGACCUAAAUGAAGUAGUUCUGAGCAUCCCAGACAGAGAGGGUCGUGAUUGGUGCACAUUUUAAUGGAUAUGUUGGUGAAGGAAACAGCUGUGAUUAAGAAGUGAUGGGUAAAUAUGACAUCCAGGAAAGGGACUUUGAAGGACAGACGGUGGUGGACUUUGCAAAAAGAAUGGAAAUGUCAGUAGUUUUUCAAGAAGAGGCAGGAACAUAGUGUGACCUACAAGAGCGGAGGAAGAAACACACAGGUGGAUGCAGUCAGAUCACGAUGCAAUCUGAAGGAUGUUACUUAUUGCAAGGUAGUGCUACAGGAGAGUGUAGCUUGACACCAUAGGAUGGUGUGUGUGUGUGUGUGUGUGUGUGUGUGUAGGAUGACUCUGGAGGUGGGGAGUAAGAUAAAGAAGACAUAGGUAGAGCAGAGAACCAUGUGGUGGAAGCUGAGAAAGGAAGAAUGUUGUGCGGCCUUUCAGAAAGAGGUGAGACAGGCUCUCGAUGGACAGGAGAAGCUCCCAGAAGACAGGACUACUAAAGUCAAGAUCAUUAGAGAGAUAAGCAGGAGAGUACUUGGUGUGGCUUCUGGUAGGAUGGGAAGAGGAGACCUGGUGGUGGAACCCCAAAAUACUGGAAGUCAUAGAAGGAAAAAGGUUAGCAAAAAAGAAGUGGGACGAAAUGAAUGCAUUUGGACGUGACAUAGGGCGAAGGUAGAGGUGGCGAAGGUUAAACAAGAGGCAUAUGAUGACAUGCACACCAGGUUGGAAACCAAAGAACAAGAAAAGGAUCUCUACAGGUUGGCCAGGCAGAGGGAUAGACAUUGGAAAGAUAUGCAGCAGGUAAUGGUGAUUAAGGAUAGACAUUGAAAUGUGUUGACUGGUGCCAGUAGUGUGCUGAAUAGAUGGAAGGAUUACUUUGAGAAGUUGAUGAAUGGAGAAAAUGAGAGAGGAAGAGUAAAAGAGGCAAAUAUGAUGGACCAGGAAGAGGCAAUAAUUACUAUGGGGGAGGUUAGAAAGGUACGAUAGAGGAUGAAAAAUGGAAAGGCAAUUGGUCCUGAUGACAUAACUGUGGAGGUAUGGAACCAAUUUGGAGAGGUGGCUGUGGAGUUUUUGUUUUUUAUUUAACAGAAUACGAGUGGGCGAGAAGACGCCUGAAGAAUGGAGGAAAAGUGUGCUAGUUACCAAGAACAGAGGGGAUUUGCAGAGCUUUGGAAACUAUAGAAGAAUAAAGUUGAUGGGCCACAUAAUGAAGUUAUGGGGAAGAGUAGUGGAGGCUAGACUCAGGACAGAAGUAAGUAUAUGCGAGCAACAGUAUGGUUUCAUGCCUAGAAAGAGUACCACAGAUGCAUGAUUUGCCUUGAGGAUGCUCGUGGAAAUGUACAGAGAGGGUCAGAAGGAGCUACAUUGUGUCUUUGUGGAUCUAGGGAAAGCCUAUGACAGAAUACCUAGAAAGGAACUGUGGUCCUGCAUGUGCAAGUCUGGUGUGGCAGAGAAAUAUGUUAAAAUAGUACAGGACAUGUAUGAUGGCAGCAGAACAGUGGUGAGGUGUGCCUUCGGUGUGACAGAAGAAUUUAAGGUGGAGGUGGAACUGCAUCAGGGAUCAGCUCUGAGCCCCUUCCUGUUUGCAGUGGUAAUGGAUAGGCUGACAGAUGAGGUUAGACUGGAAUCCCCUUGGACCAUGAUGUUCGCAGAUGAUAUUGUGAUAUGCAGUGAAAGCAGGGAGCAUGCAGAGGAACAAUUAGAAAGAUAGAGACAUGCAAUGGAAAGGGAAGGAAUGAAGAUUAGCCAAAGUAAAACUGAAUAUAUGUGCGUGAAUGAGAAAAGUGGAGGGGGAAGAGUGAAGCUCAGGGGAAAAGACGUAGCGAAGGUGGACGACUUCAAAUACUUGGUGUCAACAAUACAGACCAAUGGAGAGUGUGGAAAGGAAGUGAAGAAAUGGGUCCAAGCGGGGUGGAACUUAGGUAAUACACUAAAAUGUCAUGGUUUGAAAUCAUGCAUGGCAUGGAAAGUUCCCCUGUUUAAACAAGCACAUGUCAAGGCCGUCUUAAAUUUGCCAGUGACCAUUUGGAUGAUACAGAGGAGUCAUGGGAGAAUGUUUUGUGGUCAGAUGAGACCAAAAUGGAACUUUUUGGUCAUAAUUCCACUCACCGUGUUUGGAGGAAGACCAAUGAUUAGUUCCAUUACAAGAAAACCAUCCCUACCAUCAUGUUUUGGGGGUGUUUUUCUGCACAUGGGACAGGACGAUUGCACUGUAUUAAGGAUGACCGUGGCCAUGUAUUGUGAGAUUUUGGGGAACAGAGCAUUGAAGCUGGGUCUUUCAACAUGACAAUUGUCUGAAGCACACAGCCAGGAAAACCAAGCAGUGGCUCUCUAAGAAGCAUAUCAAGGUUCUAGCCAGUCUCUAGACCUAAACCCAAUGGAAAAUCUUGGGAGGGAGCUGAAACUCCGUGUUUCUCAGCCCAGAAACCUGUCUUAUCUUGAGAAGAUCUGUGUAGAGGAAUGUGCCAAAUUCCCUCCUGCAGUGUGUGCAAACCUGGUAAACAACUACAGGAAAUGUUUGACCUUUGUAAUUGCAAACAAAGGCUACUGCAUCAAAUAUUAACAUUGGUUUUCUCAGGUGUUCAAAUAUUUUUUUUGCAGCUGUAUCACACAAAUCGUUAAAAAACAAUCAUACAUCGUGAUUUAUGGAUUUCUCUUUUUCGAUUAUCUCUCUCACAGUGGACAUGCACCUACUCUGAAAAUUUCAGAACCUUCCAUGAUUUCUAAGUGGGACAACUUGCAAUAUUGCAGGGUGUUCAAAUACUUAUUUUCUUCACUGUAAGUUGUCUGGGGCUUCAUGCCCCUGGUAGGGUCACCCAUGGCAAAAAGGUCCGAGCUCAGGGACCAGACAAAGUACGACUCACAAAAGCCCCUAUGUUGAAUACAGAAAUUGGAUCUUGGUUUCCCUUGCCCGGAAGCGGGUCACCGGGGCUACCUUCUGGAACCAGGCCUGAAGGUGCGGCUCGAACGCGAGCCCCUGGUGCUGUCCGGGCUUGCACCCAUGGGACAGCCUGAAAGGGUAGCAUGGGACCCCUUUCUCAUGGGCUCAUCACCUGCGAGAGGGGCCAGAGGGGGCAGGUGCAAUGUGAGCUGGGCGGCGGCCAAAAGCGAGCCGAUCCCUGGUUACAGAACUAGUUCUGGGAACAUGGAAUGUCACCUCUUUGGCAGGGAAGGACUCCGAGUUGAUGCGUGAGGUCAAGAAGUUCCAAUUAGAUAUAGUUAGACUCGCCUCAACGCUUGGGCUCUGUUACCACUCCUCUGGAGAGGGGUUGGACUCUGUUCCACUCUGGAGUUGCCCAUAGUGAGAGACGCCGAGCAGGUUUGGGUAUACUCAUUGCCCCCCGGCUCUGGCCCUAUACGUUGGGGUGGAUGAGAGGGUAGCCUCCCUCUGCCUAUAGGUGGGGGGACGGGUCCUGACUGUUGUUUGUGCACCAAACAGCAGUUCAGAGUACCCACCCUUUUUGGAGUCCUUAGAGGGAGUUGCAAGAGAGCGCUCCCUCUGGGGACUCCAUCAUUCUGCUUUGGGACUUCAAUGCUAACGUGGGCAAUGACAGUGAGACCUUCAAGGGUGUGAUUGAGAAGAACGCCCCCCCGAUCAGAACCCGAGUGGUGUUCUGUUAUUGGACUUCUGUGCUCAUCACGGAUUGUCCAUAACGAACACCAUGUUCAGGCAUAGGGGUGUCCACAUGUGCACCUGGCACCAGGACAACUUAGGCCGCUGUUUGAUGAUCGACUUUGUAGUCGUGUCAUCUGACUUUUGACCGCAUGACUUGGACACCCGGGUGAAGAGAGGGGCGGAACUGCCAACUGAUCACCACCUGGUGGUGAGUUGGCUCCGAUGGUGGGGGAAGGUGCUGGUCCGACAUGGCAGGCCCAAAUGUACUCUGAGGGUCUGCUGGGAACAGCUGUCAGAUUCUCCUGUUAGAAGGAAUUUCAAUUCCCACCUCCGAAAGUACUUUGCUCACGUUCCGGGGGAGGCGGGGGACAUUGAGUCCGAGUGGACGAUGUUCCAUUGGUGAGGUCGCCAACUGGAGCUGUGGCCGUAAGGUGGUUGGGGCCUGUCAUGGCGGCAACCCCCGGACACGUUGGUUGACACCAACAGAGAUGGAUGCUGUCAAGCUGAAGAAGAAGUCCUAUCGGGCAAUUUUAGCCUGCGGGACUCCUGAGGCAGCGGAUAGGUACCAGCUGGCCACGCGGAAUGCAGCUUCUGUGGUCACUGAGGCAAAAACCCGGGCGUGGGAGGAGUUUAGUGAAGCCAUGUAGAACGACUUCAGGAUGGCUUCGAGGAAAUUCUGGUCCACUGUCCGGCGUCUUAGGAGGGGGAAGCUGUGCACCGUCAACACUGUGUAUAGUGGAAAUGGGCCACUGCUGACCUCAACUCAGCAUGUUGUGAGUCAGUGGGGAGAAUACUUCAAAGACCUUUUAAACUCCACCAACAGGCUUUACCACGAGGAAGCUGAGUCUGAGUUCUCAGAGGCGGUAGCUUCUAUUUCUGGGGUUGAGGUCACCGCGGUGGUUAAAAAGCUUCUUGGUGGCAGGGCCCUGGGGGUGGAUGAGAUUCGCUCAGAUUUCUUCAAGGCUCUGGAUGUUGUGGGGCGGUCUUGGUUUACACACCUCGGCAACAUCACGUGAACAUUGGGGAUGGUGCCUCUGGAUUGGCAGACUGGGGUGGUAGUCCCCCUGUUUAAAAAGGGGGACCAGAGGGUGUGUUUCAACCAUAGGGAGCAGGAGAUUGACAGACAGAUCGGUGCAGCGUCUGCAAUGAUGUGGACUUUGUAUCAGUCCAUUGUGGUCAAGAGGGAACUCAGUUGAAAGGGCAAGCUCUCAAUUUACCAGUCGACCUACAUUCCUACCCUCACCUAUGGGCACGAGCGGUGGGUCGUGACCGAAAGAACAAGAUCCCAGAUACAAGCGACCGAAAUGACUUUCCUCCGCGGGGUGUCCGGGCUCUCCCUUAGAGAUAGGGUGAAAAGCUCGGUCACCCGGGAGGGGCUCAAUGUCGACCCGCUGCUCCUCCGCAUUGAGAGGAGCCAGAUGAGGUGGCUGGGGCAUCUGAUCUGGAUGCCUCCCAUAUGCCUCCAUGGUGAGGUGUUCCAGGCAUGUCCCACUGGAAAGAGACCCUGGGGAUGGGCCAGGACACGCUGGAGAGACUCCAUCUCUCAGCUGGCCUGGGAACGCCUCGGGAUCCCUCUGGAAGAACUGGAUGAAGUGGCUGGAGAAAGGGAAGUCUGGGCAUCCAUGCUGAAGCUACAUCCCCUGCGACCUGACCCUGUGAACCAAUCGAGAAUGGAUGAAUGUAACCAUUCCUGAUAAGAGUCACAGAUGUGCAAGAUGUAAACGUGUCAACGUCCCACAUUGUGUUACUGUAAGCUUGUACAGAGUGCCUUUACCUGUUCGUGGUUCCCGUUAUGGCAUGUCCAAUGACAGUUGGGCAAAGGGAGCUCUUUAAAAUGAUGAAUCAUGCGAUAGUCUCCAAAAUAUAUUACUAAUACUAAUUGGACCAGCAGGAUGUGAGUGUGUCCCAACAAUGGCACAAGGCAGAAAAUAGUAGGUUCACUGAUCAAGAAUUUAAUGAUUUACUUGCCAGAGGGGAAAAAAGUGUUCGAAUGCCUGCUAGUUUUGACUUGCAUUGAACUGUCGUGCUUUCCCGACAGAAGGAGCUGGAGGAGUUGGUGGCUAGGAUGUGGAGGGUCCAAAAGGAUCCUGGCCAGUCUUCAAUCGUGGUAGAGUGGUGACAACAAUCCAUUCAGCGGUUUUGAUUGUCCGUUGUAGUUGGAGUUUAUCCUUUUUUUGUGGGGGCCCUAAACCAGACUGUGAUGGAGAUACACAGGACUGAUUGGAUGACCAUUGUGUAGAACUGUCAGCAGUUCUUGGGACAGGCCGUGGUUCCUCUGAAGCUGUAAUAAGUACACCUUUGCUGGGCUUUUUUGAGGAUGUUCGUCUCCCACUUUCGGUCCUCUGAAACUGUAAUUCCCACGAACUUGAAGGUCUCAACGAUUGACACAAGACAGUUGGACAGCGUCAGGUGUAGCUGUGGUGAAAGAUACCUCUUGAAGUCCACAAUAGUCUCUACAGUCUUGAGUGUUCAAUGCCAGGUUGUAUUGACCACACCAAAACUCAAGUCCCGUCUUUGAUCAGGCCGAUGACCGUGGUGUCAACUGCGGACUUCAGGAGUUUGACAGACCGUUACCACGAGGUGCAGUCGUUUGUGUAGUGCGAGAAGAGGAGAGUACACAACCUUGCAGUGCCCCGGUGCUAAUAAUGCACAUGGAUGAGGUGGUGUCCCCCAGCCUAACCUGCUGUGUCCUGCCCGUCAGGAAGUUGUACAUCCACCAGGAGAUGCCAGGUGAGAAGCUGAGCUGGAGUAGUUUGGAGGAGAGGAGUUCAGGGAUGAUGGUGUUCUUUCUUCUUUUUAUUUUGGUUUGUCCCGUUAGGGGUCGCCACAGCGUGUCAUCUUUUUCCAUCUAAGCCUAUCUUGUGUAUCCUCCUCUCUAACACCCACUGUCUUCAUGUCCUCCCUCACAACAUCCAUCAACCUUUUCUUUAGUGUUCCUCUCGCUCUUUUGCCUGGCAGCUCCAUCCUCAGCACCCUACUACCAACACACUCACUCUCUCGCAUCUGAACAUGUCCAAACCAUCCAAGUCUGCUCUCUCUUACCUUGUCUCCAAAACAUGCAACUUUGGCUGUCCCUCUAAUAAGAUCAUUUCUAAUCCUAUCCUUUCACUGCAGAUCACAACAUCAUCAUCAUGGUCCAAGGGGAGUCCAGUCUAACCCCGUCUGUCAGCCUAUCCAUUACUAACGUAAACAGGAAGGGGCUCAGCCCAGAAUCCUGAUCCAGUCCCAUCCCCACCUUAAAUUCUUCAAAUGACAAUGUGGUUACAAAGGAAAUAGUUUAAUUCAUUGAUAUAAUUCAAAAUAUUACAAAUACUGUUUUCUCCCACAUAAAUCCACACAAUGCUAGAAACUGUCACAGUUUUUGGUGACUCGACAACCAAGUUUCCCACGGAAGUAUCCAAUCAAAUUUGAGAGUAAGAGAAUUUACAUUAGUUAGCAGUUAUAAACAAUUCUGUGAGUGACUAGUAUGUAAUGCUGCUUGUUUUAAUACUACAUAGUAUUUUAUAAAAAUUAAAAACUCCGCGCACAUAAGAACAUCAGCUUGCUUGCACUUGUUAGCCACACAGAUAUACAAUACGUCCUUGUACUGAUAGUUUGGGGUGGAGUCACGGGUGUUGUUUACAUUUUGCAUAGCUGUCAUUAAAUUGUUAAAUAAUAAAAGGUUUGCAUCCAAUAUCCUGUUUUUCUAAUUGAGAAUGGUCAAACGAUUUGCUGUCGUGAAACAUGUUUUUUUUUUUUUUUUGCCAAGAACAACAUUUGGUGCUUUUAUUCAACCAUGUCAACAGUGUUUAAAGUUUUCAUGGAAAUAAAAGAGGAUCAAGAUGAUCAGCUCCUCGCAGUUUUGGUACUUUCUGUGGGGCGGAUUCGGAGCCUGUUGGACCGUGUCCAGGUUCAGGUGCUGAUCCAAGCUCGUAAUUGGUCCCUUUAGCAACACCGAUCUGUUAAGAUGUUGGAACUGGCUGUAUGGUAGGCAUUUAUCCAGGUUUUAACAUUAAAAAAAAAAAAUUCCGUGACAUACACUUUAAGAAUCCUCUUGUGUACUGUGUGUGUAUGAGUGAAGACAUUGACUGCAAUCAAUGACAUCUAAAGUUACGACAUCCUCCCGUUAAACUUGAAACAAUCCUCAGGGAAUGAAGAAGAAAGCAAAUGUUAUCCUCCAACGCCUGAACAGAUUUUCUUAAACACCAAAAAACACUACAUUGGGCAUUCAGUGCCGUAAAAAAAUUAUAAAAAAACAUUUUAUUUUUUCCAUUACACACAAAGGUUUUGAUUUAUCAAACCAAUUUUAAUAUUACUCAGGGCCAACCCAAGGAAAUACACUAUGCAGUUUUCAAAUGCCAAAUUUAUUAAACCACAAAAACAAUCAAAAUCUUUCUGACCCUCUGUGAAAAAGAAAUUCCCCCCAGCUUGUUAAAUCACAGUCACUGUGACGAACCACCAAUUUGGAAAAGUGAGUCUGGAAAGGGUGAAAUGCAGCCCUAUGUGGACACAAACCAGUGCAAUCUGUAGGCCGGUUCCAAGCCCAGAUAAAUGCAGAGGGUUGUGUCAGGAAGGGCUUCCGGCGUAAAAACUGUGCCAAACAAAUAUGAGCGUUCAUCUAAAGAAUCCCAUACCGGAUUGGUCGUGGUCCGGGUUAACCCAGAAGCCCCCAGCAUUGCUCACCUGCAGAGUGUCGGUGGGAAUUCAGCUACUGUGGGUCGAAGACAAAGAAGAGGAGGAAACCGGAUUUGUUGUCAGAAGAAAGAGGGGCAUGCACAGAGCCUGAGUGUAGGGACUUUGAAUGUUGGGAUUAUGACAGGAAAAGCUCAGGAGUUGGUUGACAUGAUGAUUAGGAGAAAGGUUGAUAUACUGUGCAUCCAAGAGAGCAGGUGGAAAGGUAGUAAGGCUAGAAGUUUGGGAGCAGGGUUUAAAUUAUUCUACCACGGAGUAGAUGGGAAGAGAAAUGGAGUAGGGGUUAUUUUAAAGGAAGAGCUGGCUAAGAAUGUCUUGGAGGUGAAAAGAGUAUCAGAUCGAGUGAUGAUACUAAAAUUGAGGGUGUUAUGUAUAAUGUGGUUAGCGGCUAUGCCCCACAGGUAGGAUGUGAUCAAGAGUUGAAAGAGAAAUUCUGGAAGAAACGAGAUAAAGUAGUUCUGAGCAUCCCAGACAGCGAAAGAGUUGUGAUUGGUGCAGAUUGUAAUGGACAUAUUGGUAAAAGAAACAGGGGUGAUGAAGAAGUGAUGGGUAAGUACGGCAUCCAGGAAAGGAACUUUGAGCCACAGAUGGUGGUGGGCUUUGCAAAAAGGAUGGAGAUGGCUGUAGUGAACACUUACUUCCAGAAGAGGGAGGAACAUAUAGUGACCUACAAGAGCGGAGGUAGAAGCACGCUGGUGGAUUAUAUUUUGUGCAGACGAUGUAAUCUGAAGGAGGUUACUGACUGCAAAGUCGUGGUAGAGGAGAGUGUAGCUUGACAGCAUAGGAUGGUGGUGUGUAGGUGACUCUGGUGGUGGGUAGGAAGAUUAAGAAGACAAAGGUGGAGCAGAGAACCAUCUGGUGGAAGAUGAGAAAGGAAGAAUGUUGUGUGGCCUUUUGGAAAGAGGUGAGACAGACUCUCGAUGGACAGCAGAAGCUCCCAGAAGACUGGACUACUACAGCCAAGAUGAUCAGAGAGACAGGCAGGAGAGUACUUGGUGUGUCUUCUGGUAGUAAAGGGGAGAAGGAAGAGACUUGGUGGUGGAACUCCAAAAUACAGGAAGUCAUAAAAGGAAAGAGAUUAACAAAGAGGAAGUGAGACAUAGAUGACUGAGGAGAGUGGAAAGGAGUACAUUGAGAUGCGACGUAGGGUAAAGGUAGAGAUGGCCAAGGUUAAACAAGAGGCAUAUGACGGCAUACUCCAGGUUGGAUACAAAAGAAGGAUAAAAGGAUCUCUACAAGUUGGCCAGACAGAGGGAUAGAGAUGGGAAGGAUCUGCAGCAGGUAAGGGUGAUUAAGGAUAGAGAUGGAAAUGUGUUGACUGGUGCCGGUAGUGUGCUAAAUAGAUGGAAAGAAUACUUCGAGAAUUUGAUGAAUGAAGAAAAUGUGAGAGAAGGAAAAGUAGAAGAGGCACGUGUGAAGGACCAAGUAGUGGCAAUGAUUAGUAAGGAGGAAAUUAGAAGGCACUGCAAAGUAUGAAAAAUGGAAAGGCAGUUGGUCCUGAUGACAUAACGGCUGGAGGUGGAAGAGUGACGCUACAGGGUCAAGAGAUAUCACGGGUGGACGAUUUCAAAUACUUGGGGUCAACAAUUCAGAGCAAUGGUGAGUGUGGUAAGGAAGUGAAGAAACGGGUCCAAGCAGGUUGUAACAGCUGGCGGAAGGUGCCUGGUGUUCUGUGCGACAGAAGAGUCUCCGCUAGGAUGAAGGGAAAAGUUUAUAAAACAGUGGUGAGGUCAGCCAUGAUGUACAGAUUACAGACGGUGGCACAGAAGAAACAACAAGAAGCAGAACUGGCGGUAGCACAAAAGAAGUUGUUGAGGUUCUCGCUCGGAGUGAGCAGGUUGGAUCGGAUUCGAAAUGAGCUGAUUAGAGAGACAGCCAAAGUUGGAUGUUUUGUAGAGAAGGUUCGAGAGAACAGACUUCGAUGGUUUGGACAUGUUCAUAGGAGAGAGAGAGUGAGUAUAUUGGUAGAAGGGUGCUGAGGAUGGAGCUGCCAGGCAAAAGAGCGAGAGGAAGACCAAAGAGAAGGUUGAUGGAUGUGGUGAGGGAAGAUAUGAGGGCUUGGGGUUAGAGAGGAAUAUGCACGAGAUAGGCUAAGAUGGAAAAAGAUGACAUGCUGUGGCGACCCCUAAUGAGACAAGUCGAACGGAAAAGAAGAAGAAGUCUGGAAAGAGUUACAAAGCCAUUUCCAAGGCUUUGGGACUCCAGCAAAUCAUUGUUGGAGCCAUUAUUCACAAAUGGCGAAAACUGGUAACAGUGGCAAACCUUCCCAGGAGUGGACAACUAACUAAAAUUACUCCCAAGAGUGUGAGGACGACUCACCCAGGAGGUCACAUAAGAACCUCUAACAUCUAAUGACCUGCAUGGCCUCAUUUAAGAUCAGUGUUAAUGACUCACCCAUAAGACAGACAAAAAAAUUCAUCCAUGGAGGUUUCCAGGUGAAAACCCCUGCUGUCAGCAAAUACAAAGGGUCAUCUCACAUUUGCCAAAAAAACAUCUUGAUGAUCCUCAAGACUUUUAGAGAAACAUUCUGUGGACUGGUAAGUCAAAAAUGUAACUUUUUAGAAGAUUUGCGGCCCGUUACAUCUGGCAUAAAAAUGGCACAGCAUUUGGUAACAAGAACAUACCAACAGUGAAGAGUUAGUGGAAGUGUGAUGGUAUGCGCUUGCUUUGCUGUCUCAGGACAACUUGCUGUGAUUGUAGGAACAAUUAAUUUCUGCAGUGUACACAAAAAUCCUGAAGGACAACAUCUGGCCAUCAUUUCUUGCCCUUGUGUCAUGCAGCAUGACAACGAUUCGAAACACACCAGCAAGUACACCUGUGAAUGGCUCAAAAGACAACAAAAUUAUGUUUUUUGAUGGCCAUGUUUAAGUGCAGAUUUAAAUCCAAAUGAGAUGCAGUUGGUGUGACUUUUAACUGGCAGUUCAUCCUAGAAAACCCUCCAAUGUGGCAGAGUUGAAACAAUUCCCCAAAGAAGAGUGGGACAAAAUUCCUCCAGAGCAACGUGAAAGAUUCACCACCAAUUAACACAAAUGCUUGAUUUUAGUUAUUGCUGCUACGGGUGGCACCACCCAUUCUUUGGUUCAGAUUACUUCUUCACAGAGCGUUGGAAAGGUUUGGAUUAUUUAAAUUUUUUGGGGGGCAGGGGUCUUAAUAUCUUGAAUUGUCAUUUGAAAACAGAAUUUUGUAUUUCCUUGGGUGGUCUGAGUGAUCUAAAAAAUGUUUUGAUGAUUUGAAAUCUGAGUGAUAGAUGGGCCCAAAAAUAAACCAAAUUGGAAUCAGUUAGGUGGGGUGGGGAUACUUUUUCACAGGUCAUCAUAUUAAAUUUGAAUGUCAUUGGUUCAACAGGAAGCAAUCUGACUGAAGCCAGGGGUUACGAGGAGAUCACCAGUGACUUUCUGUGCACUCAACGCUCUUCAGCCAACUGUACAGUAUUCUGACUUCCGAUAACAGGGGGCUACGACAGUAUUAAACUUAAUUUUCGUGUUGACGACUAGCACAAAAUGUACAGAAAGUAAUGAUCUUGGAUUAGUACUGAUAGUAAUAGUGAUGAGAAAUGUCUUUAUUUCCUUGGAUUUAGUCAUCAUGAGUGAGGGUUGUGCCAGGAACUGACACGAGUAAUAGACUAAUUGAUUUGUAAUGGUCUCCCCAAGUAUGGAUGCUCCAUUAUUAACUGUGGCAGUCAUAAAUCAAGA